GACGCUGUACAAAUCGUCUGCUCCGUGAGGUGAGGGCAUGAGGCCAACUCAAUAUCUCUGUCCCACCGUUCUCCACAACGAAAGAAAAAAAACUUUGUCUUCCCCAACUACUCUGAAUAGAUCGGGGGCAUGUGAAACCUAGGAGCGCCGCCGCCGGUUUGAUCUCACCCCCAACGACCUCUCCGUACGCCCUUCUUCAGAGUUCUGCAGCCCUCCUGUCUUCCAUGAUGUUCAUCCAUGAGCGCCCAGAUCUGGUGUUGCAGAUCUUUUUUUUCAUCACCGGCACAAGUGGUCAACGGCUCUCCACCAUUUGUUUGUCAACUGCUUGUUGAUUUGCGUAACUGGCUGUUUCAGAGGCAUCGAGCGCUCACAUCAUCAGGUUUGGUCCGGUUUGUAUUCAAUGUUAUAUACAGGUAGGGACGUAGGGUGCUCCCUAGAUUUAAUGGAAUAAAAUUGCUUUCUCUUUUGAGUUCAUUGCUACAACAUAGAAUGAGAUUUUUACAAAGUCUAAAAUUAAGCAGUCAUUGGUAGAUCGUUGUUGCUACAGAUAUACAAGCACAUAAGUUAUUGACUAUUUUCAUGUAUUUGUAUGUCGAUGUAUAUAUAUGUUGAUGCUUGAUUAACUCAGUCUUAUCUAUUCCUGCAUUUCAAGUAUUUCACUUCGAUUUUGUUGUUAGUAUCGGGUACAAGUAAACUAUGGUGGUAUCAAGACAUAAUUUAGAAGUCAUAGAUGUGAACCAUGCAAUCUGUUUGUUUUUAUUAUUCUUCGACCUUAAUAUAUAGACUUUAUAUUCCAUUAUUCUGCAGCUUUUGUAGAUUAUUUGCAUUUCUAAUUUAGCCAUUGUUGUGAACUAAAAGAAUUGCUCCUUCAGCAUGAUGAACUCACAAAGGCAAUGCUAAGGUACAUUCCAGUUUGUUUUCUUCUAAGUUUGAAGCGUGUUUCAUCGGAUACCAUGGGCAAUUAUCUAAUCCUCUAAAGUCUUAUUUAUUUAACUGCAUCCAUAUAUGUAAUAAUAUUUUAUUCAAUCAAGUACAUAACAAAAUAUCAUUUUUGAUGUACAUGCUUCACACGCUGAAUCCUUAGUGUGGUGUCUAAACUAAGAUCUACUUAUCUUUAGUUUUCUACAGAAGUGAGCACAUGUUUUCUACAAAAGUAAGCACAUGUUUUCUACAGAACUAGGCUCUACUUAUCUUUUGUUUUGUACACAAGUAACCAACUCUUUCUGUACGGCUAUUAAGCAUUUGGUAAUUGUUUUUCUUGCAGCAGCCAGUUGGUAUGCAAUAAUAUACCAAUGUGAAUAGAUGGUGCUCCAUUAGGUGAAUGAGAAUACUGCUCUGAUGGCAAAACACCCAUGUGAAAUUAUUUUUGAUGGUUUUUAAGCAACAACACAGAACACAGCAAGGAAAACAAGCAGUAGCGGCGACGGAGAGCUGAUGUACCAUUUCUGCAUGCGGAAGCUUGUAGAGAUAAUCCGACUACUAGAAGAAAAUGUAUAAGAUUUAGAGGAUUUUUCCUGGUUAAGUUUGUAAUUAUUUCAUGAAAAUGUACAAAUCAGAUGUAAAGUACUGUUGUGCUCAAUCAAUAAAGUUUUUUUCUUCAAAAGAA